rnacentral:rRNA from 1 species
GACGAACCGUGCGAACGUUGUUCGGAAUCACUGGGCUUAAAGGGCGCGUAGGCGGUCACGCACGUCCGGGGUGAAAUCUUUCGGCUUAACCGGAAAAGGGCCCUGGAUACGGCGUGACUGGAGGGGGAGAGGGGCGGACGGAACUUCCGGUGGAGCGGUGAAAUUCGUAGAUAUUCGCAAGAACACCAGUGGCGAGGGCGGCUCACUGGCCCGGUACUGACGCUGAGGUGCGAAAGCGUGGGGAGCAAACAGG